AUUAAUACAUAUUAUAAUAAUUAAUACAUGUUAUUUACAUUUAUUAAUUUACCACUUAAAUUACAUUUAUUAUUUUAUAAUUAUUUAUAUAUAGACUAAAAUGUACAUUUGGCCAAGGACGACUUGGAUCAGUGUCAUUUCCAUGCAAUCAUGUUGGUGCUUCAGUCAAAGCUGCUUUUGAUAUUGAGACUCCUAGCAUAAGCCAGAGGGGAAAAAAAACACAGAGGAACAUCUGUCCCCUCUAAUAUGAAAGAAUAAUAAAGUGAUUUUGUGCAGAUCUCCCCCCCGGUCAGCAGAAUCUCUCAUUGGUGUGUUGUUGCACACUGCUAUCAUUGCAAAUCCCUGCUCGGCAAAACCAUCAGUAAACCAAAAAAUAAAUGCAGUAGGGGGUGAACUGGGGGUUUGCCUGCACUGAAUUAUUUAAGAUCUUACCUUGACGAUUAUGCACACCAUCUGUUUGAUGUAUAAUUCAAGAGACAUGCUUAGGGUGGGACAUCUUAAAUGAAGCGCUCUGCAUUGAAUGGUCACAGUGUUGCAGGUCCAAACAUUAUGUAGACUAAACCCUUUGAUGUGUGUGAUAUGAGAGAUCUCCACUUUUAAAAGCUUCACUCUUUGAUAUAUCUUUCAGAGUCUGUACCGCAAAUUCCAGUUACACUUGCUGUUUCAUCUAUGGAUGCACUGAGUCUGACAUGAAAAGCAGGACAGGGCAGGAACCGCAAGCCAGGUUCUCCUCCAAUAAGCUCAGCAGGAACAGGCAAGAUUUUUUUCCCUCCAUCUGUAGCUACUGAAGUGCAAGCGUGUCUCAUCCGCCUGUCAAUCACACACUGUAUAGCAGCAAAAUCCAUCUGGGGAAGAUAGAGACUGUUUGAAUUAUUAGUGUCACAGUGCUGAAUCUAGAUCAGUACUGUUUUUGCUAUCCUCUGACUGUAAUUUCUUAUGACAGAGGGAUGUCUGAUCUGAGAUCAGUGUCAUAACACAAAGAUAAAAAUGCAGGCCUUGGUUUGAGGGUCAUAGAAUCACAAUUUCAGGCAAGGGGUGGCUAAAAGUAGAGCUUUUCCACCAGUUUUUGUCAUAGAACUAAGAUUGCAUGGUUAUCUCUUUGAAGGAGUAAGAUUGCGUUUCAUUUCGAUCUGCUGCAGCGGUGGACUGUGAACUGAAACUACUCAGCGGGAAUCUGAAGUGAAGGUUGUUGUACUGUAAAAUGAUUUGUUUGAAAGCUGUUUAAGAUAAUUGAUCGAUUAUUAAAGAGACAGUUCACCAAAAAAUGUAAAAAAA